AGAAAGGUGCUUAGUUGAACAGAAAUUAGCUACAACCAAAAUAAUGAUUAAUAUUAUAACCAUAAUCAUAGAAAAUAACAGUUGAUUGCCACUUUCAAGAAUAAAAGCAAAUUCUGUGAAUAUAGAACUAAAAUACUAAAAAUAAACAAACAAGCUUGGGAGAGAUUAGUCAUGCAAAAUCCAACCCUAGAUAUUUGAUGGCAAUUAUCUAAAUUUUUUACCUUAUAAUUGAGAUGGUAUUUCACUGGCAAAGCUUAAACCAAGUAAUAUUCACAAAAAUGGAAGAAAUUCAUAAUUAAAGAAAGUCAUUAAGCAAAACAGAAAAAAUAUUUCAGUAUCAAACUUUAAAGUUAAUAAUUUUUUUUUAAUGAUGGAUAAAGACAAAGCAAAUUGAUGGUAUGAAUUAACUAAUAGUAAUGAACAUUCUUCUCUUAAAUCUCCAUCAGAUACAUUCUUAUUUUGAAGAAAUACCAAGGCAACUUAAGAUAGGGGUAUUACCAAAUAUUCCAUAUGUGAUUUUCAGGAAGCAAAGCUAUUCAUUGCAGUACACUAUGUCAAUAUUCUAACCAUCAGAGAAGAUAUAAAAUUUAUAAAAGUCUUCUGUAGCACCCAAAUCACAACAAAUGGAAUUGCUAAACAUAUCAGGUUUACAACAUGUCAUAACCUCAGUGUUCAUUCCUGCUUUCUCUCUUGGCAUAGGAAGCUAGCUGGCUCAUAACCCAUGCUUUUCACAACCACAAGUUCUUUAUCCCUAUAUAACCAAAUCCUCAAGAGAACAGCAGACAGAGGGAGAAGACAAUUUAUUUAGAGAACUAUUAUGUGAGGAGGAAAACAAGCUGCCAUUUCCAAUUUGAAACAUAAUUAGGAAGACAAUAGCCUCCUGACUGAUGCUCUUUGUUCCCUUUGGAUAUUUAUGUAGGCCAGUAAUUGGAGUGUAUUUCCCUGUUCAAUUUCACAUUGUCUAUAAAAGGGUUUCUCAUGAUCCAUGACUUUCUAGUUAAAUUCAGAAGAAAACAUCUUGCAGCUACUGCCCUAUUGCCAUGGCCACACAUCACUGCCUUCUAGACAUGGUCAGUUGCUGAAACUUAUUUUCAAUUCUGCCAAACAGUUGAGUUAAUAGGAUUUUAAGAAGGAAAAAGUUGUUCCAUGGGACUUGGGUGAUUGAAGGCUUUCUAUCCAUUAUUGAAAAACACUGGGAAAGUUAACCACCCUUUUUUGCUGAAAAAUUAACAUAUAUACUUGAUGUAAAUAAAUGUCUAUAGACAUAUUAAAGCAUUCAGUCAAUAACAACAUCAAAUGAAAGUUAGGAUUGAGGCCCAUUACAUUUCCGAAAAGAUGCUUUUAGGAGUGGAGGGAGACAGCUUCCUCCUUUCCUUUUAUAAGCAGAGAAAAGUCAUUUUUUUUCUCAUUUAUUGCAUAUGCACUUUCUGGCUACUCAGGUGGGAAAAAAAUCCCAUUGAUUCUCAUUACAUUGCCCUGAGGACAAGCAGUGGGGCAAGGAGGCUUAUACACUUGUUAUUUACUAUUAAGUAAUUACUAAGCCAUCCAUCUCUGAUCCCAAACACCCCAUAUGCAUAUUCGGAAUAAAAUUAACAAAGAUGAAUAUUAAAAAUCCAACAUAUUUAUUGAGCAACUACUGUGUCUGACAUAUUGAUUAACUUCACAACAAACUUAUAGUCAUUAUAUCCCCACCCUUCAUAAGCUGAAAUUAGAAUUCAAAACUUAACACCAUAUUAAAAACUCAGACUGACCCUUUCAUUUGUCUCCUUUUUUAUUUUGCUAUGAUAUACUUCUCCCAGGGAAGUUGGUGACUUAAUCCUCGUUAUACCCUGAUUUUGGACAAAUUUUACAAGAAGAAUAAGACUUCUACUUCUCUAUGUCUACAUGCACCUGGAACAGUGCUAGGUCUAUGCUUACAAAUUGAUUGGUUCAGGUCACCGCCAUGAGCCUCAGGACAGAAAAUUGCCGGAUAUGAGAGAGAGAGAGAGAGAUUUGACUGGGCUAAGAAAGAAAUGAAGACGAUUUAGAGAUGGAAAUGGUGACAUAUGGGCCUUUGAAGCCUCCCAUGUUCCAGAGAAGCCCCUGUGAGCUGUGACUGCAAGUCAGCACCUAAAUUAGAUCAACACUACAACAUCAAAAAGGCUGGAGUGCAGUGGCACGACCUUGGCUCACUGCAACCUGUGCCUCCUGGGUUCAAGCAAUUCACCUGUCUCAGCCUCCUGAGUAGCUGGGACUACAGAUAUUAAUCAUCUUUAGGAUUAGAACCUAAAGCGUAAGUCUAAUUGUGCCCAGAAUUGCUUCCUUCCAGUGGGUUCCUGGUCUCGCUGACUUCAAGAAUGAAGCUGCGGACCCUCACGAUAUUACUCUAGGAAAAUUUACAACCUGAAGCAAGGAGAAAUAAGAUUUCUCUUCUAAAUGCUGAAUUUGAAAGGCUUCAUUGGUAUUGCAUUGGAUCCAUAAAUUAGUUGGGAAAAACUGCCACCUUUAACAGUUCUGAGCCUUCCAAUCCAUGAGCAUGAAAUUACCGCAACUGUCUAACCUUCAGCAACAACCACUCUGAUCACCCAGCAGUCAUCAGCAUUGAGGCAAGACCCUCCACAAGCAAAAGAUUACAACUGACUGAAGGCUUGAUUAUUGCUGACAUUUUUUAGUAAUAAAGCAUGUUUUAAUCA